GGGAGGAGGACUAUUGCAAUGGGGAAGGAGGACUAUUGCAAAUGCGAAGGGGGAUUAUUACAAUAGGGACAGGGGGACUAUUUCAAUGGGGGAGGAGGACUAUUUCCUUUUUUUUUUUUUUUUUUUUUUUUUUUUGAGACGGAGCCUUGCUCUGUUGCCCAGGCUGGACUGCAGUGGCACGAUCUCGGCUCACUGCAAGGUCCGCCUCCUGGGUUCAAGCCAUAAUCCUGCCUCAGCAUCCCAAGUAGCUGGGACUACAGGCACCCACCAGCAUGCCCGGCUAAUUUUGUUUUGUAUUUUUAGUAGAGACGGGGUUUCGCCGUGUUAGCCAGGAUGGUCUCCAUCUCUGCACCUCGUAAUCUGCCCACCUCGGCCUCCCAAAGUGCUGGGAUUACAGGCCUGAACUACCGCACCCGGCCCAGGAGGACUAUUUCAAUGGAGGAGGAGGACUUACUGCAAACCGGGAGGGAAGCCAUUGCAAUGGGCUUUCUUCUCAACCGACAUCUGGAAGCCAUUCAGUGCUGCAUACACUUCCUGCAGGCUGCCCCUCUGUUCUCUCGCCCUUCUCAUCUCACGUGAUUGAUCACCUGACAAGCUACCUGGAUUUCCUAGUGCCCCAGAGUUGCCCUCAAUCAACACACAACACGUUCCCAUGUGGAAUCUUCACCAAGUGUUCAUUUCUUCCAUUACAGGAAAUAGUAUUCUCUCCCUGUCCCCAAAACUUUGCAGUAAAGACCCCUGACAAUCUAGUUCAAAUGUCAGUCAUGACACUGCUAGCUUUCUUUUUACAAGACUGUGUGAGUCCCCCUGCAAAAAAGUCAAACUGAAUUUUAUCACAUGAUAUCUACUAUAGUCCUUCAAGCAAUUGUCACUGCAUCUUUUCAGUUAUGGUUACCAAAGGUUGUGUUUAAAAUUAGCUCGCAGAAUUUACUGCUGGGUGUGGGGAUGGCCUACAAAUGACCCAAAUGACCAAGAUUCAGUGUUGUUCAAAUUGUGUAUGUUCUGGAAAGGAGUCACUUUGUCUACUUGAACUUUAGAAGUUAUUUACUAAUGUUGCAGUGUGAUACAAUUGAUCGUAAUCUAGGCUGGGCACCGUGGCUCACGCCUGUAAUCCCAGCACUUUGCGAGGCCGACAUGGGAGGAUUGCCUGAGCUCAAGAGUUUGAGAUCACCCUGGGAAACGUGGGGAAACACCGUCUCUACUAAAAUACAAGAAAAAAAAAAAUAGCUGGGUGUGGUGGUGCUUGCCUGUAGACCCGGCUCCUCUGGAGGCUGAGGCAUGAGAAUCACUUGAGCCCGGGAGCCGAGAUCGUGCCACUGCACUUCAGCUUAGGCUACAGGGUCUCAGACUCCAACUCAAAAAACAAACAAACAAACAAAAAAAACAGCACUCUGGGAGGCUGAGAUGGGUGGAUCACCUGAGGUCAGGAGUUCGAGACCAGCCUGACCAAUAUGGAGAAACCCGGCUCUAUCAAAA
rnacentral:lncRNA from 10 species